rnacentral:ncRNA from 1 species
AGAAAACCGAUGAGAAAGAGAAGUAAGCUUAUCUGGACAUCACAGAGAGCUGCAGGUGGUGUGAUGCAGCAUGAAAGGAUUUGCUGAAUGGACUUUUGAGGGCGGCUUGAAAAAGAAGCAGAUUGCAUUUAGUAGGUGUCGCCGGGAACCGAACCCGUUAUCAAUUCGGCACAUAUGGAUGUAUGUGACAGAGUGGACAAUUCAUUGUCAAUUUGAGUGGUACCGCGAUAAGAGAGCAAAGGCUUUAUUACCGUCUCAGGA